AACGAACGCUGGCGGUAUGCUUAACAUAUGCAAGUCGAACGGGUGUAGCAAUACAUCAGUGGCAAACGGGUGAGGAAUAUAGAGGAAUCUACCCAGCAGUAAGAAAUAACUUUGGGAAACCAAAGCUAAUGCCAUAUAUCACCGAUUUAUCGGGAAAGAUUUAUCGCUGUUGGAUGAGCCUCUAUCGGAUUAGCUAGUUGGUAGGGUAAUGGCCUACCAAGGCAAUGAUCCGUAGCUGGUCUGAGAGGAUGAUCAGCCACACUGGAACUGAGACACGGCCCAGACUCCCACGGGAGGCAGCAGUGGGGAAUAUUGGACAAUGGGGGGAACCCUGAUCCAGCCAUGCCGCGUGUGUGAAGAAGGCCUUAUGGUUGUAAAGCACUUUAAGCGAGGAGGAGGCUACUGAGACUAAUACUCUUGGAUAGUGGACGUUACUCGCAGAAUAAGCACCGGCUAACUCUGUGCCAGCAGCCGCCGUAA
rnacentral:rRNA from 1 species